rnacentral:rRNA from 1 species
GACGAACGCUGGCGGCGUGCUUAACACAUGCAAGUCGAACGGGCCUGUCUUCUUUUUUGGGGGCGGGUUGAGUGGCGAACGGGUGAGUAUCACGUGAGUAACCUGCCCUUCGGUCCUGGAUAACCGCUUGAAAGGGCGGCUAAUACGGGGUGGUCCGGUUGGUCCGCAUGGGCUGGUCGGGAUAGAUUCACUGUUUUUGGUGUUUCGGCGGGGGAUGGGCUCGCGGCCUAUCAGCUUGUUGGUGGGGUGAUGGCCUACCAAGGCGGUGACGGGUAGCCGGCCUGAGAGGGUGGGCGGCCACACUGGGACUGAGAUACGGCCCAGACUCCUGCGGGAGGCAGCAGUGGGGGGUAUUGCACAAUGGGCGGAAGCCUGAUGCAGCGACGUCGCGUGAGGGAUGGAGGCCUUCGGGUUGUGAACCUCUGUUUCCGGUGGUGAAGGCCCUGUCCGUGUGGUGGGGUUGACGGUAGCCGGGGAUGAAGCGCCGGCUAACUACGUG